rnacentral:piRNA from 1 species
GCCAGUUGUAGACUCUGUAAACAAAGU